GACGAACGCUGGCGGCGUGCUUAACACAUGCAAGUCGAACGGAAAGUCCCUGCUUUUGUGGGGUGCUCGAGUUGCGAACGGGUGAGUAACACGUGAGUAACCUGCCCUUGACUUUGGGAUAACUUCAGGCAACUGGGGCUAUUACCGGAUAGGAGCUCCUGCUGCAUGGUGGGGGUUGGAAAGUUUCGGCGGUUGGGGAUGGAAUAGCGGCUUAUCGGCUUGUUGGUUGGGUGGUGUCUUAGCAAGGCUUGGACAGGUAGCCGGCCUGAGCGGGUGACAGGCCACAUUGGGACUGGGAUACGGCCCAGACUCCUCCGGGAGGCAGCAGUGGGGAAGAUUGCACAAUGGGCGGAGGCCUGACGCAGCCACGCAGCGUGCGGGAUGACGGCAUUCGGGUUGUAAAGCGCUUUCGCCUGUGACGAAGCGUGAGUGACGGUAAUGGGUAAAGAAGCACCGGCUAACUACGUG
rnacentral:rRNA from 1 species